rnacentral:rRNA from 1 species
GUCGAGAAUAAUUCACAAUGGGGGCAACCCUGAUGGUGCAACGCCGCGUGGAGGAUGACGGUCUUCGGAUUGUAAACUCCUGUCAUCCGGGAGUAAGACCUGGUCGUUAAUAGCGAACAGGGUUGAUAGUACCGGAAGAGGAAGGGACGGCUAACUUCGUGCCAGCAGCCGCGGUAAUACGAAGGUCCCAAGCGUUGUUCGGAAUCACUGGGCGUAAAGGGAGCGUAGGCGGCGUGGUAAGUCAGAUGUGAAAUCCCGGGGCUCAACCCCGGAACUGCAUCCGAUACUGCCAUGCUAGAGGAUUGGAGAGGUAGCUGGAAUUCUUGGUGUAGCAGUGAAAUGCGUAGAGAUCAAGAGGAACACUCGUGGCGAAAGCGAGCUACUGGACAAUUCCUGACGCUGAGGCUCGAAGGCUAGGGUAGCGAAAGGGAUUAGAAACCCUAGUAGUCC